ensembl:lncRNA
UUUUUGGAAUGUAACAAUUUAUUGGGAGUUAAUUUUUUUUGUUUUUAAUUUUUAUCUCCCCAUUUCUGGCAUUGAUACAAUAUUCAAGAGCAGCAGAAAGAACAAAAUGUACAAGAAUACAAGAGUAAUUAGCACAACCCCCACCCCCAAACCUGGAGCAAACCAUUUUCUUGUGGGAAGCGCCAGGGGAAGGGGUGAUCCGAUCACCCCUCCAGUGGCUUUGCCUCCCACCCAUCCGCUCUAGACAGAGUUUAGCCAGCUGGGAACUGGAUUAAAAACAACAAACAAAAAACCAAAACCAAAAACCUGAACAAACACUAUAUUUAAAAUGAAAACUGCAAGACAAAAAAAAAAAAUAUAGAUAUAAAAUUCAUCCGUGCACAAUCCUUAAAUGCAUUUUUUUAAAAAUUAAAAAAAAAAAAUUACAAGAUACAUAUUUAGGUUUAUUUUAAAUUAAAAAAAAAAAAAUUUACCACCUUCACUCUGUAUGCCAAGUGAGGGGAAAUAAGAGACAAAUGGGUCGCACCAGAACCAUGAGCACUCCAGGAGUUAGGUCUGACCUUCUCUAAGAGAAAGGGUAAGGCUCUGAUGCUGCCAAAACUCAAGCGCAAGCAGAACCUGAAGCACCCAAGUACCACAGAGCUCGGUGGGGUAAAUCGCCUGCUUCAGGUUCAGAAUUUGCAGGAAUCUGCAGGAUUUAAGCCUAAGCUUGGCACUGGGGAAGGUGAAAGGAAGGAACAGAUGAGGCAGGCCCCUAUCCUCCACCACCAGCGGACAACUUUCUAUGCAAAAAGAAAACAAACGGGAACAAAAACAUAAUCCCAAAAUAGAGAGUCCUCUAUUCUUAAGGAGCACACAAGGCUUACCAGCAGGGAGAGGAGAGGAGGGGAGGACAGCACACCAAGUUCAUUAGCUGAGGGGAGGCGCAGGCACGACAACUUUUUUCCUAGAGGAAAAAAGUUAUCUUAAAGAGUAUUAUUUUUUGUGGUUGUUCUGUUUGAGAACUUGACCUAAGAUGAUGUCCCCCUUUGCAGCUAGGGGGCUGGAAGCAGCAGGGUCCCUCCAGGACAGCUAAAGAGCACCUACCUGCUGCUCUGCCCAGAGGGAAACCUUCAGCAGCCCUGGAGAACAGGGUGCAGCCAGGGAGCUGCUCAGGAACAUGCAGCCCUACAAGGCCCCAAAGCCCCACAAAGUGCUUUGAUACACCUAGCCAUGCUCCUGCAGUUUAGCACGAGCUCAAAGUGCUCAGCUGAACAAGAAAGGAAGUCAAGAACCAGGGCCUUGUGGUGGGAAUUAACACUUCAGCUGCUUGUCCCCACGAUGCCCCUUCCCUCCUGCCAGAUAAUGUUUUCUGAGCUGCUGCUGAAGCUGGCAUCACCCUGACUGCAUCCAGCAGCUCUUCCGUCACCUUACUUCUUCCCUACGCUGCAGCACGUUGCUUUCUGUCCAUUUCCCUGCUCUGCUCAGCCUGGGAGCGCAGGGGGCAUCCCCACUCCUCCAUACCCAGCGCAGCCUCUGCGAGCACACUCAGAUGGGUGCCUGGAGGGAGAGGGCUCAAAGCACAGCACUAACCUGAGGCAGGGGAAUUCUCACCCCAAUGACUGUGCUUUCGCACAGUCCUGGAGACAUUUUGUUUCCCACCACAGAGAAGCUGGAAGAGAAAAAAAGAACUGCCAGAGGCAGCCCACCACCAUGGGGAGGGCAAACUGACAACACCUCCCUUCACUCCCAGGAGGAGAAAUUUAAAGGGAGAAAGAAGAACUCAGGGCCCUGUGACAUCCUUACAAGCAAGGCAGGUGCGACACAGGGCACCUCAGAUGCACCACACAGAACACAUGUGAAGCUGCUGGUGCCAACACUGCUGACCCUACACAGACAAGGGCACAAACCCCACCAGCCUGACACAGGGCAGCAACAGAAGGGGAGAGAAGUAGAAGACGGAAGGGCAAAGGUGAGGACGGAGAUAGACUCCAACAUCUCCUCCCAUCUACACCCCCAAAAAGAAGCCAUAGACAUUGCACUCUGGGGAGGGACCUAGAAAAUAGAAGUAAGAAAAGAAAAUAAAGCCACUUUUUUGCUCAACCCCAAAGCAUCAAUGAAGUGAAGAUACUUCCUGGAGUUACCUGGGGAAGGAAGCACAGACAGGGAGAGGGGAAUUUCUGAAGCAAUACUCGGCACUGCUCCGGUUCCAUGCCAAUGCCACAGGAGUCGGGCUGCCAGCACCCUCAGCAGGAUGGUCCCCUUCAAACCCCCAGCCCUUUGCACCAGGGAGACGGAGGCACAGGGCAGUGACACAGCUGGCAGAAAGGCCACGGCAACCCAAGAAGGAACAGAACCCAGGAGGCACCGAAUCCCUGGCCCCAAAUUAACCCUCUACAGCACACCACCUUCAGAGCAGAGAUUGGGGAGGCUGCGCACAGGGUGGUGGGUGAGACGGGGAGGGAAGAGGACAGGGUUUCUUUUAUAUUUCUAUAUUUAUAUAUAAAAAGUAAAUAAGAUCCCAGCUCUUGCACGAUUAUGGGCAAUUGAAAAAUGCAGCAAAAGCAAGCGACAUUGGAGUAAAAAGAUGCACCAGGCAAGGAGGAAUAGGUCUUGGAAAGUGGGGAAGGAGGCGAGGGGGGAAAUAAGCACUUAGCCAGACACGCACUCCAGGUUUGUUACACCUCCCUGGGAAGAAGGGCCUGCUCCUGAGCAGCCCCACUGAUGCCACAACCUGUGGUGUGCAUAAGCGUGGGGGUCUCGGGACACCAUCCUUCAGCACGGCAACCUCUUUCUGCCAGGAGGUCCCUAGAAAAGCGAUCAUCUCCAAACACUGGGAGCUGCAAAAACCUCCUCUACAAAGAGGAGCUGGGAAAGGGAGUGAAAUCCCUAGGAAGACUCAGCUCAGAGACAGCUCCCACCUGGUAAAAAGCAGGAUUGUAAAGGGUUCCUUUUUUUUCUUGUUGUUUUUUCUUUAUAUCAUAAAAUUACCCUGGGAACUUCAGUAAGGGGAGAUGGAGAGAAAUGCUCCCUUUCUCUUUUGAAAACAGAAAUCAAGCAGUGGCUCACCACGCUAUUUCUCUGUUUUCCAUCCCAAAAGGAGCUUGCACCUCAUUAGCUUCACACCUCCCCAGUCCUGCUCUGCUCAACGAGGAGACAAAGAGAACAUUAGACAGGAGGCUGCCGCUCCAAGCUGAAGGCUGUGGGAAGCACUGACAGAGCCCGAUGGGCAGAGAGAGGAAAGGAAGUUCCCAAGAGCAGCCCAGGCUGUGAGAGGCAUCGAGACGUCCAUCACCUGCCACUGCAAAGCCAAGGGCACCAGAGAAGUCCAGACAAGAAAAGCUGUCCUAGCAUCCCUUGCCUGCUAUGUUCUGUUCAGACACCAAUGUCUGGUAGCUUCCCUCUUCCCUGCAGUCAUUCCCAUGCACAGGAUGAACACCCAGCAGAGGUAUCAUGAAUGGGGAAGCUUUGAAUGAAUGUUCAGGCAACUCUUCCCUGCCACUCUGCAGGAAGCCAGAGCAGAAGACAACAGCCCUUACUUGAACACAGUCCCGUCAAGGUGUUCCUCUCCCCAUCCCAAAGCCUCCAGCAUUUGCUGGCCUCAAAAAGAGGGGACACCUCACUCGGAAGCACCUUCAGAGCACACAAGGCAGAUCUCUCGUCUACCUCUGAAGAUCUGGACACUCUGAGUUGGGAUGCUGGACUACACAUAGAUGGGAUUCGGUUCUCUGUCCUGAUGUGGUGAAUCCGAUAUGGAAAAAUGCCACUCCCCACCCGAUGCUGGAAGAAGCUAAGAGACCCUACGGAGGGGAAGCAUAUCUGCUUCCCAGGAGAUAAGCCCAUCAUGGUUAAUCUUGCUUGGAUAUGGGGGAGGGAAAAAGAGAAGAGAGACAGUGAGUUGGCAGGAAAGGUACAUGACAACCCCAAAUCUUAGCAGCUUGCUGUGCAUGCAAAGUAAGUCAACUGUUUCCAUGUUGGUGGCCCGAUCCACGUUCUGGCAGAACGCAACCGGCCAUUUCUGAGGGCCACUCGGCCAGAAAACCACUCGGAGACUCUACCUUAGCUCACAGGAGAGGUAUGGGAGGGAAGGGAACUCACUCCAACACUUGGGAGGCAAGGACGGGAAGGGUUUGUAGACAGGGUUCCUCCAACAUGCAACUUGCCUUUUCAGCUCAGAGAUCGCUGCUUAGUCCCAGAAUGCCUUUCCCUCCAGUUCAAGCAAGCCAAACACCAUCCCAGACACACAUGCUUCGAUACUACAAAAUACUCUUUUCUCUAAGGACCAUCUCUAUUACCACUACAGUUUGUGCAAUCACUGCAUUUAUUAAUCAUUUUUAAACUCUCUCUCGCUCUCUCCCUGUAGAAAUUUUUUUUAAACUUUUCUUUUUUUAUGCAAAACUAAUCAUUUCACUUUUUCCACUCCAUCAUAAAAUCUCCUCUAAAAACACGACAACAAGAGAACAAACAUGGCACAGACACAGAGAAUAUUUCCCUGUUUUUUGUUUUCCUAGGGGUUAUGGGGAAGGGAAGGGGAUACUUUCAAAUAAACUCCUCCCUCAAUCCCAUGCCCUUUUUAAAAGGCAUGGAUGGAUCUUCUUUCCCAUCUCUGUUAAGGAGCAAGGGCAAAAAUUCAGAAGGAGGAGUGCAACCCACGUGAAUACGAAGGUAGGUUAGUCAGCCUCAAGUGGCUCAUCCACCUGAGGGAACUCGAGGCUGCUGUGUGUUCAAGUUAGCAAGCUUCUAACUCAAACCAGCACGGGAUCCUCAUUUUGGAUCCAGAGGUUCAGGGUUUGGUCCCCACCUGGUGACUCACCCAGGGAGAUAUUUGUCACACAAGCAGUUGAGCUGUGUCUGCAAGCCGGAUCAUACUCCUUUCUUCCUCCACAAAGAGGAUCUACUGCACAGGUUCCUCUGCUACAACAAGUCCCCUCAUCUCCUCACCACAGGAAGAAGGUCCUCACGGAGUAUCCC